AGACAUUUCAUAAAUAGAUAAUUCUCUAAUUGAUCCAGCCAAUCCUACUUUGCAUACCCUGCCAAACUAGCACAGACUCUUUAGUGCAGUCCUGAUUUCUGUAUUAAUGAAUUGCGAAGAUGACAUCAGGCUCUUAGCAUUCAUAAUAAAGCGAACAUGGUGUUUUGGAGCAAUAUGACAUCUCAAGUAAUCUUCUUAACAAAUCCAGAGCUGCUGGUCCAGAUAAAUGUCAUACUGCUUGUCCCAUAUAACCUGAAAGCAAGUAUGGAAAUGAGGACUCUUCAAAAGACACUUGCUCAAUAGCUUAAUGUAAGAGGGAGAAUAAGAAGAAGAUGGAGGGGAGCUGGAGCUUGAGAAGGCAAACUGUGUAACAACAACCACCAAGUGAAGGAAGGAGAAACAGUGAAGGUGCUCUGCGUUUCAGAGAAUACUUGCUCAACUGUUUAUUCCCCUCCAUUAGAUGAUGAACUGGUGAUAUGGCAACACUGAAACCAUGUCUGCAAAACAUUUGGAGAUUUUGAGGAACAAGGUUGAAGAAAACUGAGAAAUAUUACUACUUUAUAUUUACUUUUCCAGAAUUUAUGAAUUUUUUCGAUACCUCUGCUAGUGAAGGUUUAACUGUGUUUUCUCUGGUCCCACACACUUUUUUGUGGGAAACCUUGCAGUUCAUGGAAAAAAAAAAAAGAGAACAUCACUGGAACUGCAACAUAACUGCAGAAGCAUCUGCACUAACCUAGAAAAUCAUCCACACUUCCAUCAGAGCUUAGUCUUCAUUGAAGCUAUGGCUCAUAAUUAACAACUAUCAGCUGCUGUGAUUACCAGAUAUUUUGAAUUAAAACUGUAUUCAGGUUGAUUUUCAGGUCGUGUGUUAUCAGAUACUUGUGUUGAAAUGGCUGUUCAGACAAGCUUUCAGAAACAAAGCAUUGUACAGCACAAGGUACAGUUCCUUAUGCUCCAAGAAGAUGGAGAAGCAAUCAAGUUUCAUGAGAUAGAGUGGAACUGACUUACUUGGAUUGAAUAGGAGUUUUGACUCCCUAGAUGUCGUGAGAGUCAAACACAAUGAAUUGCCUGAAGAAGUGCUGGAGAAUUUGCCUGAAAUUGGUUCUUCAAAGAAACUGUAAAUAAAGCUGUGGGGUCAUAUUUAGAGGACAAUGGACUUAUGAUGAACCAGCCAUAUGAGGGCCUCUUCUAAGCACGCAACCGCAUACCAAGAAGAAGAUAAGAGGAAGAAAACAUCUGCAGUAGGAUACAUGGGAGGAACACCAGGAACUAGAUGAACCAAUAAGGACACUUACCGAGCAGCGUGAUUGCCUCGUGCCAAAGGGCUUUUACCAAUCAAAAGGCGCGUGACCGCAUGUAGGGAUAGAAAACUCUGUAUAUAAAGGGAUAGUGAGAACAAUAAAGCAGCUUCUGCUUGAUUCACUUUGAAUUGUGUAGAGUCCGUUGUCAUCUCUCCUCAUAAAGCUUUAUGCAGCGUAUCUUCUAUGAACAGUUAAGAGGUCUUCCUCCCUUCAGGGUCACCAUGCUAUCAGGAGAACAAAGGGGUGGCCAUUUUCAGGGUAAGAAUAUAGCAACUUUUUUUUCAGGAAUGAGCACUAAGCACAAUCAGCACCCUUGAGAAUGAGGCUGAAGGCCCCAAACCUUCACAGAUGGUGCCUUCACAGAACAUGACUCUACAUGUAAACCCCUGAGAUCUACAUGAAUAUGCAACCAGAUACCAUCAGAUAUCAGUUCUAUUUUGGUUGAAAAGGGACCUUCCCGCAAACACAUGCAGAAAUGUGUUGCUACUCCACAAAGAACCCCUUCUCUGCUUAAGUUCUGCACUGAAAUUUCUUUUUACCUGUGGAUGAAUUAAGCAUAAGGCUGGUCAUUCAAUAUGGACUAUGAACUCAAUGUUCAAAACCAAGACAAACAGUACAGGAAUGGGAUGAAAUAUUUAUUGAAGCAUUUUUGUCAGCCAAAGCCAGGUAAUAUAUGUAUUACAGAUUUACUCCACAAGGGAAUAACAUUGUGUACUUCAGAUCACCGCAGGAAAAAAAAAAAAAAGAAAAUUAAUAAAAAUAUUUCUGCAUUAAAAGUGAUUUUAUUGCUGUUUAAUUUUCUAACCCAAAUGACAUCCAAAACCUUCCAAGAUAAGCAAGUCUCCAAAAUGUCUUCUCUCCUGAAAUCUUCAUGUGCAUCUAGCAUUUCUCUAAACUCUGGUGAUGAAAGAAAAAAGAGAAACCAGCUGACAUUUGAAGUUCAUCUCCCUCAUCAUGAGCUGCAUGGACAACUUUGGUUAGCUUGGCUGCUUCCUCUUUAAUCCAUGGGAAAACUAAGCUUGGCUAACCUUUCACUCAGUGUGGUUUGUUACCUCUUCCUUUUCCAUGCUGGCUCAACUUUCAUGGCUGACAUGUUAAAUAAUCUGGCGGAGCCUGUGUUAGUCCCUCACAAAUCUGCACAGGAGGAAAGAAAGGGAACAAAAAGGUAACGGUAAAACAGCCACAAAUGCUGGUGUCUGUGGCUAUAGAUUCACGGAGCAGGUGGCUUAUGCAAUGGAAGCCUUUGUGUUUUCUCAUGCACAUGAUUUGCUGGCACAUGACUAAACUCUGAGUGCAGACACAUGGCUCCAGAGACAUUUGCUCAGUUUAUGGGGUGAAGGAAAAAAGCCGAAUAUAUAUUUCAGAACAUAUUAGAUAUUUCUGAAAUACUUGAUGGUACAUAUACUGUGUGUUUAGUACAUGCACUAUGUCUCAAAGUACUCAUGCAUGGAUAUUUACUUUUAUUAUUUAUAGACCAGUUACAACACCAAGCCCACUUCCAGACAUCAAGAAUAAACCUAUAUUUCACAGCUAUUUUUAUAACUGAUAGUAAAUCUUGUAGAUGGUGUGAGUACUGUGAAAGUUAUCUGACCUUGAGCAAAAAGAAACCCCACAGGAAGACUUCUAUCUCAGAAAGCAUCGUGGUUGCUUAUUUGCAGCCAGGGACAGUUUGGAUCUACCAUAGGUUCCUUUUUAAAAUGAAAGAACACGCAUGCUUAACCCAAAAAAUCUCAAAGCCAAAAGUACUUUCCUUCACAGUGGAUUGAGCUAGGUGUGGGGCCAGCAGUUUUUGGAAAAGGCUUCAUUGCUGUUCUCCAAGAAAUGUACACAUCAGCAUUAAACAGCCACAUCCGACUAAAAGACCUACACCAGGAAGAACACCAGUACUAUAUUCUGCACCUUGCACCACAUCAUAUGCUUGCACUGCCCAAAUAUGUUCCACAUGGCUGUCUUUCCUUUGUGCCAAUGACUCCUAAGGAGCCAGAAGACUGCCAGUAAAAAAGAAGCAAGUUAGGAGUACUAGAGACUAACAGAUGUUAAAGUUGGGAAAAAACAUCACAAUCAUCUAUGGUAUUCAGCCCACACAAAACAAGGAAUAUUCCCAAGGCUAUCUGUAUGGUGUCAAUGUACACUUGCAAAAAUUAUAGAGACAUAAAUAUUUUUCAAGUAAUUGGCACCUGGAACAAUACCUCUCUAGAGUAGACAGAGGCUGUGCCUGAACGGUUAUGUAUAAUAGGCCUGCCUUAGUCUCUAAAGGCAAUGUGAUGUCAUGUCCAUGUGCCUGAAUCUUCUUCCUCCCAAAACAGGGUGCCCACAUGGCAUAUGGCAGGUACAGCUCCUGAAAGACAACGUCCUGAACCUGUGCAUUGUCUGAGGGUGAUGGUGGGCAACAGAGUGUGAGCAGUCUGGCCACUAAUGGUCCAAGCACUCUGAUCUGCUUAUCUUACAAGCAUGAGUUCAAUGAGAUAGACUAUGUUGUAUGAGAAACACAGCAGAACUAAUGUUUUUUGACAAACUUUAAAGUUUAGCUUUUUAUAGGAACAGUCUCAACAUAAAUGGGAGUUUUGGAUGAAUGAUGUCUAGGCUAUACAUUAUGCAAGGAAAACGCUAAAGCUUGAGUGAAUAUUUUGGUUUCAACUCCCAU